rnacentral:tRNA from 1 species
UCCCUAGACUGACGGGCUUCGAUCCCGCGACAAUUUAAUUAACAACUAAAAGCCCAAACCAGCGGACUUCAAUCUAC